CCCGCCACUAUACCAGUCUGCCAGGGUGACUGGCUGUAAUCCAGUGGAGGCUCAGAUUGACCCAGCUUUAGGAAACAGGGCUGCCCAGCCUAGUGGGCAUCUCUGUGCCGAAAAGUCUGGAACAUGU
rnacentral:snoRNA from 1 species